AGAGUUUGAUUAUGGCUCAGGAUGAACGCUGGCGGCGUGCUUAACACAUGCAAGUCGAACGGAGUAAUAUGAAGUUUUCGGACAGAUUAUUACUUAGUGGCGGACGGGUGAGUAACGCGUGGGUAACCUACCUCAUACAGGGGGAUAACAGUUGGAAACGACUGCUAACACCGCAAUAACAAGUUGGAACCGCAUGAUUCUAACUUCAAAUAUUUAUAGGUAUGAGAUGGGCCCGCGUCUGAUUAGCUAGUUGGUGGGGUAAUGGCCUACCAAGGCGACGAUCAGUAGCCGGCUUGAGAGAGUGACCGGCCACAUUGGGACUGAGACACGGCCCAAACUCCUACGGGAGGCAGCAGGUGGGGAAUAUUGGACAAGUGGGGGCAACCCUGAUCCAGCCGACGCCGCGUGAGUGAAGAAGUUAUUUCGGUAUGUAAAGCUCUAUCAGCGAGGGAAGAUAAUGACAGUACCUGACUAAGAACGCCCCGGCUAACUACGUGCCAGCAGCAGC
rnacentral:rRNA from 1 species